rnacentral:rRNA from 1 species
UGAGCAAUCUGCCCUUCUCUUCGGAAUAAGCGUUGGAAACGACGUCUAAUGCCGAAUACGACCUCCUUUCGCAUGAUCGGAGGUGGAAAGCUCCGGCGGAGAAGGAUGAGCUCGCGGCCUAUCAGCUAGUUGGUGUGGGUAAUGGCCCACCAAGGCGACGACGGGUAGCCGGCCUGAGAGGGUGACCGGCCACACUGGGACUGAGACACGGCCCAGACUCC